GACGAACGCUGGCGGCGUGCCUAAUACAUGCAAGUGGGACGCAAGGGAACACACUGUGCUUGCACACCGUGUUUUCUUGAGUCGCGAACGGGUGAGUAACGCGUAGGUAACCUGCCUAUUAGCGGGGGAUAACUAUUGGAAACGAUAGCUAAUACCGCAUAAUAUUAAUUAUUGCAUGAUAAUUGAUUGAAAGAUGCAAGCGCAUCACUAGUAGAUGGACCUGCGUUGUAUUAGCUAGUUGGUAAGGUAAGAGCUUACCAAGGCGACGAUACAUAGCCGACCUGAGAGGGUGAUCGGCCACACUGGGACUGAGACACGGCCCAGACUCCUACGGGAGGCAGCAGUAGGGAAUCUUCGGCAAUGGACGAAAGUCUGACCGAGCAACGCCGCGUGAGUGAAGAAGGUUUUCGGAUCGUAAAGCUCUGUUGUAAGUCAAGAACGUGUGUGAGAGUGGAAAGUUCACACAGUGACGGAGCUACCAGAAAG
rnacentral:rRNA from 1 species